AGAGGUGGGAGAGGAAGGCACACAAACCUAGUCACGGAAGAGCAGAGCUGCACUAAGCUACUGCCUCGGAAAGUGACCUGUAGGCUGAUACUUGAAGGGCCACUAAGAGGAAUGAGGCCAUCCACUCUGCGUUGAGGAUCCUUUGCAACAAUGUGCAGGAAGUCCUUGGUAUUAAUGCACAGUGCUCCAUGACAA